rnacentral:rRNA from 1 species
GAUGAACGCUGGCGGCGUGCCUAAUACAUGCAAGUCGAGCGAACUGAUUAGAAGCUUGCUUCUAUGACGUUAGCGGCGGACGGGUGAGUAACUCGUGAGCAACCUGCCUGUAAGACUGGGAUAACUUCGGGAAACCGAAGCUAAUACCGGAUAGGAUCAUCUCCUUCAUGGGAGAUGAUUGAAAGAAGGUUUCGGCCAUCACUUACAGAUGGGCCGGCGGUGCAUUAGCUAGUUGGUGAGGUAACGGCUCACCAAGGCAACGAUGCAUAGCAGACCUGAGAGGGUGAUCGGCCACACUGGGACUGAGACACGGCCCAGACUCCUACGGGAGGCAGCAGUAGGGAAUCUUCCGCAAUGGACGAAAGUCUGACGGAGCAACGCCGCGUGAGUGAUGAAGGCUUUCGGGUCGUAAAACUCUGUUGUUAGGGAAGAACAAGUACAAGAGUAACUGCUUGUACCUUGACGGUACCUAACCAAAAAGCCACGGCUAACUACGUGCCAGCAGCCGCCGUAAAAC